CUUGAUGUUCGAAAACUCUCAGUCACGCCAAAAUUUAUGCAAUAGCCCGUGCGAUUUCCGAAACGAUAAGAAUGAAUGCAUUUUCAGUAUGAAUGAGGUAGUUUAUUAUUAGUCGGAGAAUAAGACGAAACAUUCUUCCAUAUUUUUAUGGAGUAAUUUGCUAUUAUAGCAACCAUUGGAAAAGUGUUCUUUCAUAAAUGUAUGAAGUUAUUACACUUGGAUUCGUUAUCAAGGAUAUCUUCCAUUAUGUAUGGAGUUAUUUGGUUUAGUUAGGGGAGAUUGUCUACUGCGUAGCAAUAUAUUAAAUAUAAGUUGUAUGAUUGGACUUUUUAUGCCUGAAGAAUGAAUGAGCGCGUUCGUGAAUCAUCAAAUAGCCAUCAAUUCAAGAUAGUUCAAAAUUUGAAACGAUUGACACUUGUAAAUAUGUUUUUAGUUUUCACCUUUGUACACUCAAGUUAAAUUUUCAAACCUGUACUCCUUUCAAACAUUACCGCUUAAAUUUAAACUUAGAAAAAUUAGUAUGGGCGAAUGUAACGAAUGUAAUUGUUACAUAGUUUUUUAUAUUUAAUGUUAAUAAAGAAAUUACACACAAGUUUUUAAUAUGUUCGUUCAAGUUUGUAGCUGCAUACCAGCCUUCACUAUGUUGCUUGUAUGCUAGCUUGUAUGUUGAUUUUAUCGUUUUAGCCGGUGGUGAGCUCUGUGUGUCAUUAUUAGAACCAGUCUGAGUUGAAUUAAUCGGGUUGCAUAUUCAAGGGCGCAUAAUCGAUAAUCCAGCAGCGAUGCUCGAUUAGCUGCUCGAUUGAUUUGAAAAUUCCUGACCGGAUACCAUUUUCACCGGAUACCUUUUCCAACCAAUCAGAAUUCAGAGAAAUCAAUAAAAGAAAAACCGGAAACCAACUUUCAGCCAAUCAAAAUUCAAAAGACGAAAACAAUAGCAGUGGGUCGACUUUGGGGCUUUGAUUUAUAUUCAAAACGAAAUUGGAGUUACUCUUGUGGAAACCGUUGGCGAGUGAAGAUCAGUUUAGAUCAAUUUUAAAGGUGUUUAAGCCAAAGUUACUCGCGGGUGAUAGCAUUUUUGAACGGUGAACUAUUUCGUUUUCGGUUUGUGGUUCAUUUAAGUAAAAAAGAGUGUCGAGCAAAAAUCGGUUGGAUAUACGGUGCCAAAUCCCAUUCAACGUGGGUGUUUGGGCAGGAAUCCGAGUCCGUACCGUCAGGACACUCGGUCGUCGCUAGGUGGCAAGCAGCCUAUCCACACCCAUUCCGAUUCCGGGGCCUAUAUAGUCCCGUCGAAUCCGCUGUGCGGCCACGCUAGACACGACGAUUGGAACCAGGACCGAACAACGAGUGCGUCGACGCCCUGUGUGACCUUCCUACGGUGGAACCAUAUGCCAGCUGGCCCUCAAGUAAGCCCGUUAGAUUUUGCACUCAUGAGCUCGAAGAAAAUCCCUGUAAAUAUUGUAAAUAGCACAAAGUAAAAGUUAGUUCGUAGUCCUUUAAAGUUUUUGUUUUACACUCUUUCGCCUAUUAAAUCCUUGAAUUAGAAUUGAAUUUGCAUUUUUUUUACUUCGUAGUUUGGGAAUAGUUUUAGAAUUAGUUUUGGGGUUCGUUUCUUGAUUUCUUUCGUUAUACUUUCACUAGUGACCGUGCGUCUCCAUAAAGUGCUCGAAUUUCGUUAGAAAAGGUAAGAGUAAAUUUAAGUGGUUUUUGCUAUUGGUAUAAGUGAAUUUAUUUGAGUCUUAAGGUAAGAAGUUGGGUCUCCGGUAUUGUAAUUGUUCUUUGAGUUAGAGAUUGAUUGGUGAAGUGAACUGUGGAGUUUGGGAAAUCCUACCUGCCCUGACAUAGGAGUUUUUUGGCCGGACUUAAACCGUACCAGUGGCCCUUCGCAAGAAGGUGGCGCUUAAGUCACUGAGUACCAGUAACCGAACCCGUAGUUUUCCUUGCUUUUUGGACCUCGAACUAAGGAGAAGGUUAC